UCCGGAGGGGGCUAGCGUUGUUCGGAAUUACUGGGCGUAAAGCGCACGUAGGCGGACUGUUAAGUCGGGGGUGAAAUCCUGGGGCUCAACCUCAGAAUUGCCUCCGAUACUGGCAGUCUCGAGUGCGGGAGAGGUGAGUGGAAUUCCCAGUGUAGAGGUGAAAUUCGUAGAUAUUGGGAAGAACACCAGUGGCGAAGGCGGCUCACUGGCCCGUAACUGACGCUGAGGUGCGAAAGCGUGGGGAGCAAACAGG
rnacentral:rRNA from 1 species